GACCAGACUCCUACGGGAGGCAGCAGUGAGGAAUAUUGGUCAAUGGGCGCGAGCCUGAACCAGCCAAGUAGCGUGAAGGAUGACUGCCCUACGGGUUGUAAACUUCUUUUAUAAAGGAAUAAAGUGAGGCACGUGUGCCUUUUUGUAUGUACUUUAUGAAUAAGGAUCGGCUAACUCCGUGCCAGCAGCCGCGGUAAUACGGAGGAUCCGAGCGUUAUCCGGAUUUAUUGGGUUUAAAGGGAGCGUAGAUGGGUUGUUAAGUCAGUUGUGAAAGUUUGCGGCUCAACCGUAAAAUUGCAAUUGAUACUGGCAGCCUUGAGUACAGUUGAGGUAGGCGGAAUUCGUGGUGUAGCGGUGAAAUGCUUAGAUAUCACACAGAACACCGAUUGCGAAGGCAUCUGACGAAUCGGAGAUUGACGCUGAUGCACGAAAGCGUGGGUAUCGAACAGGAUUAGAUACCCUAGUA
rnacentral:rRNA from 1 species